UGGCGCAUGCUUGCUUCCCAAAGCUAAGGAGGGCUCUGUGCAGGCGGGCAGCCCACCCUAAGGGAAGAAUCAUGGGAAAGAGCUCUGGCCUUGCAGCCUGUUUCUUCAUCUGAAAAAAAGAAGGAAAAAUAAUACCAAACUCAGAAAGACUUCAUGAGGAUCGAGUCUGUUUGAAUUGCUUUUCAUUGCACCUUCUAAAUAUGGGGAACUGCGACAUGAAGAAGUUAACUUACCUAAGAUCAGAGAAUGAGUCAAGGACAGAACAGGACCAUGUCAUCAAAUUUAGAGAAACUUGAACUAUGCAGAAAAGAGAUGGGAUUCUUCUGUGGCUGUGCUGCUCACUCAAGGGAGUCUGAACCAUUUUGACCAGGAAAAGCCAAAGGAAAGGCCACUGCCAAGGGCAGACCACACAUUGCCUGAAGUCAUUGUUCUCCAUUCCAGCCCCAAGAACUCUGCGAGAUCGAUGAAAGCAUACAUUGAGAAAUAAAAGUCAUGAGAAAAUUUU
rnacentral:lncRNA from 1 species